rnacentral:rRNA from 1 species
CACGUAGGCGGGUUCUUAAGUCAGGGGUGAAAUCCCGAGGCUCAACCUCGGAACUGCCUUUGAUACUGGGGACCUAGAGUCCGGGAGAGGUGAGUGGAACUCCUAGUGUAGAGGUGAAAUUCGUAGAUAUUAGGAAGAACACCAGUGGCGAAGGCGGCUCACUGGCCCGGUACUGACGCUGAGGUGCGAAAGCGUGGGGAGCAAACA